AGUGAACGCUGGCGGUAGGCCUAACACAUGCAAGUCGAACGGCAGCACAGUAAGAGCUUGCUCUUACGGGUGGCGAGUGGCGGACGGGUGCGGAAUACAUCGGAAUCUACUUUUUCGUGGGGGCUAACGUAGGGAAACUUACGCUAAUACCGCAUACGACCUACGGGUGAAAGCAUGGGAUCUUCGGACCUUGCGCGAUUGAAUGAGCCGAUGUCGGAUUAGCUAGUUGGCGGGGUAAAGGCCCACCAAGGCGACGAUCCGUAGCUGGUCUGAGAGGAUGAUCAGCCACACUGGAACUGAGACACGGUCCAGACUCCUACGGGAGGCAGCAGUGGGGAAUAUUGGACAAUGGGCGCAAGCCUGAUCCAGCCAUGCCGCGUGGGUGAAGAAGGCCUUCGGGUUGUAAAGCCCUUUUGUUGGGAAAGAAAAGCAGCAGGUUAAUACCCCGCUGUUCUGACGGUACCCAAAGAAUAAGCACCGGCUAACUUCGUG
rnacentral:rRNA from 1 species